UUAUGAAAUACAAUACACAUGCCGAAUAAAAACCUCAUAUAACCCAACUUCUGAAAGGUUUCAGGCCAGAUAUGCUGAAGUGGACUGGGCCGAUUAGCUGGAACCCAAAGUAAUAUGAUUCUCCGGACUUGGGAAGAGCUCGGCCCUCAUGAAGUCCCCCCGAGUCCAAGUCAAUGCCUAGUCCCCAAAGUAUCAAACGUAAUAGGCCGAACACGCUCCGCAGGAAGUGGACACACCUGUUGGGGAGGACUCUAAUUUUCUAAUUAAAGUGGUGAAUACAGGAAUGGCUGAUGGUGUUGUGAUUACCAUGUGGAUAGGCCUCUGUUUUCUGAGCUCAAGUUCCAUCUGAGGGAAACUAAACCUGAGAACAGUGAGUAUCAACCACUUCAAUCAUUCAACGUAAUGAUGCAGCAGACAUAUGGUCAAGAAUUCAUAGCCUUUAUCCCAC
rnacentral:lncRNA from 13 species